rnacentral:tRNA from 1 species
CCCGCCGGGGCGGCGGCGCCGCCGGCGGUGCUGCCGCCGGCGCCCGCCGGGGCGGAGCCGGUCGUCCGGCAGCCGGCCUGGUGGGGC